rnacentral:tRNA from 1 species
GUGUAGCUCAGUUGGCCGAGCGCUUGCCUAGCAUGCAUGAGACCCUGGGUUCAAUCCCCAGCAC